rnacentral:lncRNA from 1 species
ACAAGUGGUAUCAAAGCUGACCCUCGCGGUUGCGUGUACAAGUCAGUGUGCGAGCAAAUGAUGCUUGGCGCGUGUGGGCUCGGAGGGGACAGAUUGCAGGGCAUAUGGUUACGGCAUUGGACGUACAGUCAUGUGCUAAGAGGCGACCUUCCUAGACAUUUUACAAAGUGUGGGUGAGUUGGACUGAUGAGGGCGUCGGGUCCUUUAAGGUGGGGAAGGGGCUGUAUGUGAGACCCAGCCCGAAUUUGGAUGACCAAGUAGUGGCCCAUCAGCGCAGGUGUGCAUGUUUAGUACCACCUUGCUAGUUGUGCAAGGGUGGAGACAACUUAUAAGCCUUUAUCCACCAGCCAUAGCACCCUCGGUUAACUCUUUUACACGAAGGGAGGACAAAAGUGUAAGUAGGGUGCUGUGUGUACGCGGGCCUGCCCCUCGGAAGGGCUAGGCAGUGCGGCUUUGGAGGUUGGGGUGUUACACCUGGAGAAGUGGAUGAAGACGCUCGUUC